rnacentral:rRNA from 1 species
UUACCAGCACGUUAUGGUGGGCACUCUAAGGAGAACUGCCGGUGGACAAACCGGAAGGAAGGUGGGGAGUGACGUCAAGUCAUCAUGGCCCUUACGGCCUGGGCUACACACGUGCUACAAUGGUCGGUACAAAGGGUUGCCAAGCCGCGAGGUGGAGCUAAUCCCAUAAAACCGAUCGUAGUCCGGAUCGCAGUCUGCAACUCGACUGCGUGAAGUCGGAAUCGCUAGUAAUCGUGAAUCAGAAUGUCACGGUGAAUACGUUCCCGGGCCUU